CUUUGCCACUAGCGAUAAAUUCGGCCAUUUCCUCGUUAAUAUUGACAGUGCCGCCCUCGACUGCGUCAAUAAUUAACACCAAGUAUUUGCCAUUUCUGUCGCGCUCGUCCAUGCGACACACAAGUUCUUUACCAUUGACCUUUUCCAGAAAUUUGUGAACGAACUUGUUCUUCUUCUUCUCUGAAGACGAUAAGUUUGUGAGGCUACAUUCGAUGGCUUGCACUGGCAGCUCCAGAAACUCAGGAUUCAAUACAGCAACACU